rnacentral:rRNA from 1 species
ACGUAGUUAGCCGGAGCUUAUUCUACAGGUACUGUCAUUAUCUUCCCUGUCUAAAGCAGUUUACAAUCCGAAAACCUUCUUCCUGCACGCGGCGUCACUGCGUCAGAGUUUCCUCCAUUGCGCAAUAUUCCCGACUGCUGCCUCCCGUAGGAGUCUGGGCCGUAUCUCAGUCCCAAUGUGGCCGUUCAACCUCUCAGUCCGGCUACUGAUCGUCGACUUGGUAGGCCUUUACCCCACCAACUAUCUAAUCAGACGCAAGCCCAUCUAUCAGCGGAUUGCUCCUUUCCCUUUUGUAUCAUGUGAUACUCAAGGCAUAUGCGGUAUUAGCAGUCAUUUCUAACUGUUGUUCCCCUCUGAUAGGCAGGUUGCUUACGUGUUACUCACCAGUCCGCCACUAACCGCUCCAAUAGUAAACUAAUGGUUAAUCGUUCGACUUGCAUGUCUUAUGUGCGCCGCCAGCGUUUAUCCUGAGCCAGGAUCAAACUCUC